rnacentral:lncRNA from 1 species
CCUCAUUAGAGAGGAUUUUCUUAGUUAGCAGGGCUUUGGGGUUAAUGAGCUGUGAGUGAUAAUAUAUAGUAGUAAUCCCUCAUGGCUGUAACAAGUUGUAUUUUAUAAACUCCUUAAUCUCAGUGGUGAAGGAGAUGUGGGGUAUAGGAAAGAGAAGAAACUAAUUUGCAGAGCUCAGGGAAAUUCCAGUGAUUUUGCUCUGUGUCUGGAAGUUAUUUGGUAAAAAAACCCUACAGGUACCACCAGGUCAAAGAAAGGGAAUAUUAUCUGCAUGUUUUCCUAAAUGGUGUCAUGGGGAUGACAGGAGGUGAUCAUGAAGAGAUAAUAGAUGUUUCACUUUUCAGUCAAGCAAAUGUAACUCCCACCUACUCCGUGGAGACUGCUAGAUUACAGCAGCCAGCCUGGGAGGUAGGUUUCAAAGCAGGAGAAGGAUUCAAGAGAGGAGAAGCCUUGG